rnacentral:lncRNA from 1 species
GAAAAAAUCAGAGGUCUGAGUAAAUCUCACAGUGCUCAUUUUUAAAAGGGUACACAAAAAAAUCUCAAUUCCAAAGAAUUUGGAUCAGCCAAGAGAAGGCAUGGGAAAAUAUCAAAUGUUUGUAUGAUUACCUGGGCAACCUUUUCUGUGCUAUGUAAAUGUGUAAUGACUAAUCAACCAGGACGGCCAAGGGAUUUGUUUCUAGAGAUAGGCAAUUUUCAUUUGUGCCUGUGAUUGGCUCAGCUCUGCGUGUGAAGAGGGAAAAGGCUUCCGUUUAUUUAGCAUAAUGAUGGACCAAAACAAAAGAAGAAAUCAUUUCACUCAUGCUUAGCAGUGUAAAGUACUCCUUUCAAAGCAGUACCACGUUACAAAAUCUGCAAAUCCCAGAAGUCAAUAACCUGAAGACAUGCCAGGAGCAGUGAAGAAAACAAGUGUCAUGAGAGAUGAGGCAAUAAAGACAGCAAGCUGAGGAGGAGGCUGUUUUCAAGCCACUUAUCAGAAUACACAGUAGGUACCCUUUUUCCCCUGGUACCCAAUGUCACCACCUCAAAGGGGUGAUUUUUUUAAUCGAUGGCCUAAAGAAUUCUUUUCAAAUGACAUGAGUUGCUUUGAGGAGAGGUGGAAUGAGAUAGGCUCAAAUACAAAGAAGAAUCUUGCCAAAGUCCAAAGUCAGAAAAGAACCCACUGUGAAAGAGGAACCCACAAGAGUCAACAUCUUGCUACUUCAACUAAUUGCGCCCAUUGGAAGGCAAUGGAAGAUGGACUGGAAGUUCACACACACAAAAAAAUAGAAAAACCUGUCUGGGCAUGGUGGCUCUCACCUUUAAUCUCAGUGCUUUGGGAAGUUGAGCCAGAAGGAUCACUUGAAGCCAGGAGUUCAAGUCCAGCCUGGGCAACAUAGCAAGACCCUGUCUCUAUAAAAAUAAAAAUAAUUAGCCAGGUGUGGUGGUGUGCACUUGUAGUCCUAGCUACACAGGAGGCUGAGGUGGGAGGAUCACUUGAGCCCAAGUGUUCGAGGCUGCAGUGAGCUAUGAUCACACCAUUGCACUGUAGCCUGGGCAACAGAGUACCUACCUCUAAAAUAAAUAAAUAAUGAAAGAAAAUAAAAGCCUAUAUUAUUUCUCAUCUAGAUAUUAUAAUAUCCUCUCUGAGAGACCACCCAAAGAGUGCCAUGAAAGGUAGAGCUAAAUUCUGUCUCUGGCCACUGGAUUUUCAAGCCAGGAGCAAGGGAUUGGAUAACUACAACUUGCUUAUAGUUCUUCCCCCAGGAACUUAAUAAAAAGUGUAAAAAAAGAACACCUAACAGGAACUCACCAAUGCCUCUCACUAGGAUCUUUCCUGACUUCAGC